GGGUGCAGCAGGCGCGAAACCUCCGCAAUGCACGCAAGUGUGACGGGGGGACUCCAAGUGUUUUCUCGUUUAGAGACAACUUUUGCCAAGUGUAAAUAGCUUGGCGAAUAAGAGCUGGGUAAGACGGGUGCCAUAUGCGAGCGUACGCAUCAUGCGUAUACUUGCAAGCACAAGCCGCCGCGGUAAUACCCGCAGCUCGAGUGGUCUGGACUAUUAUUGGGUCUAAAGCGUUCGUAGCCUGGCCUGCAAGUUCUCUGUGAAAUCCGGCAGCUUAACUGUCGGGCGUGCAGGGGAUACUACAGGCCUUGGGACCGGGGUGGGUUGAGGGUACUUCCGGGGUAGGGGUGAAAUCCUAUAAUCCUGGGGGGACCACCUGUGGCGAAGGCGCUCAACUAAAACGGGUCCGACGGUGAGGAACGAAAGCGUGGGGAGCGAAUGGGAUUAGAUACUAUACGCAGGCGUAUGUAUAUACCACUGCGUUAGCUAAAAACCCCAGUAGUCCACGCCGUAAAUGCUGCAGACUAGGUGUUGCACGCCCCUCGUGGGCAUGCAGUGCCGAAGGGAAGCCGUUAAGUCUGCCACCUGGAAGUACGUCGCAAGGC
rnacentral:rRNA from 1 species